CUAGCUCCCAAAACCUUGAUUUCCUCAACUUUUCUCAACAAAUCAACCAUGGAUCUUGCAUCAAGGAUGGAGAAUAAGAGGAGAUCACCACUUUCUACCGAAUGGAAUUUCGAAAUUUUUGAGGGCAUAACCUGAGAAGGACGAGCACUCCGUUAUAGCACUGUCCUGCGUUUGGAGGUCAGCCUCAACUUUUAAUGCUCGUCUUCCUUGUUAGCCUCUGUGUGCCUAA